UACGGAGGGCGCAAGCGUUGUUCGGAAUUACUGGGCGUAAAGCGCGCGUAGGCGGCCAGGUAAGUCGGAUGUGAAAGCCCGGGGCCCAACCCCGGAACUGCACCCGAUACUGCCUGGCUGGGGUCCCGGAGAGGAUGGCGGAAUUUCCGGUGUAGAGGUGAAAUUCGUAGAUAUCGGAAGGAACACCAGUGGCGAAGGCGGCCAGCUGGACGGUGCCUGACGCUGAGAUGCGAAAGCGUGGGGAGCAAGCAGU
rnacentral:rRNA from 1 species